GAUUACAUUUGUGGCCUGAUUCUUCACCUACCUUAAAUCAAAACAAUCAACUACUUUUUUUUCUUGUUUAAAGCAAUAACUUAUUAAAAAUGUCAUCAAUGAUAGGGCGAGAGGGAGGUGCCAAGGAGGGUUAAACUGCACCUAUACACUGUUUACACUUGUGUCUUGAUCACUCCAAAUAUAGAGCUAAAACAAAUGUUUUCUUUAGUCACUUCACAGUUCUUUAAACGAUUCUACAUUUACUAAAUAACAGCAGUAUCGGCUGUUUGCCUGCUCAUACUUUCACCAUUCGCCUACCUUAAACCAAACUAAACAACAUUUUGUCAUUUUAAACAGUUUUCUAAAAAGCAGUAAUUCCUUCUGUUAAACAAUAACAACACUAUCAUCAGCAGGCGGAUUUGCGAGGGGGAUAGGAUAUACUGUGCCUAGGAACAAAGAAGGCCCCCCCAAAGGGGACUCCAUGACCCAGUCUAUUGUUUACAAAACAGCGGGCACCUUCCUCCUCCUCCUCCUCUUCCUCCCUGCAAUACUUAGUAACUGAGUCAGGUCCCAGCCGCCUCUUCUUCCUUCUCCUCUCAGCAGCCUGGGGGGAGUCUGCCCCGCUCCCCGACCACGUUGAGGUGUAGCCCCGGGAUGGCUGUGUCAGCCCCCCAGGCAGGCUGACUGCCCCCGCGGGGUGCCUGUGCCAGUUCCCCAGCUCCUCGCCUCCGUCUCCUCUUGUUGUCAGAGGGGAUCAGCUGAUCGCAGGGAAGGAACUUCACGCUUAUUUUUUCGCCGCGAAGACAGGAAGGUGAACGCGGAAGAGAGCAGAGGGCGCCCAGGCACGCCGGGAGCUGUAGUACUGGCGCUUCCGCGCCGCGCCCUCAUGCCUGCGGAGCCACGGGCAGACUGCAAGUCCCAGGAAAGACUAUAGUCUCAAAAGGAGUAAGCAACAAGCUGUGAUCCGAGACCACAAGAUGGGAGCCAGGAAUUUAACGUUUCUCAGUCCUGCCUCUCUUUCUUCUUGUUUUCCCAUCUGUAAAAUGAAGAUAAGAUUUGUCUGCCUCACAGAUCUACUGCAUGGAUAAAUUAAUGUUCAUAAA
rnacentral:lncRNA from 1 species